GUCUAUGGCCAUGCCACCCUGAAUACACCCAAUCUCGUCUGAUCUCGGAAGCUAAGCAAGGUCAGGCCUGGUUAGUACUUAGAUGGGAGACCACUUAGGAAUACCAGGUGCUGUAGGCU
rnacentral:rRNA from 1 species